AUUGAACGCUGGCGGCAGGCCUAACACAUGCAAGUCGAGCGGAUGAAGGGAGCUUGCUCCUGGAUUCAGCGGCGGACGGGUGAGUAAUGCCUAGGAAUCUGCCUGGUAGUGGGGGAUAACGUCCGGAAACGGGCGCUAAUACCGCAUACGUCCUGAGGGAGAAAGUGGGGGAUCUUCGGACCUCACGCUAUCAGAUGAGCCUAGGUCGGAUUAGCUAGUUGGUGGGGUAAAGGCCUACCAAGGCGACGAUCCGUAACUGGUCUGAGAGGAUGAUCAGUCACACGGGAACUGAGACACGGUCCAGACUCCUACGGGAGGCAGCAGUGGGGAAUAUUGGACAAUGGGCGAAAGCCUGAUCCAGCCAUGCCGCGUGUGUGAAGAAGGUCUUCGGAUUGUAAGCACUUUAAGUUGGGAGGAAGGGCAGUAAGUUAAUACCUUGCUGUUUUGACGUUACCAACAGAAUAAGCACCGGCUAACUUCGUG
rnacentral:rRNA from 1 species